UACGAGAGUGGCAGACGGGAGAGUAACACGUGGGAACGUGCCCUUUGGUUCGGAACAACCCAGGGAAACUUGGGCUAAUACCGGAUAAGUCCGUAAGGAGAAAGAUUUAUCGCCAAAGGAUCGGCCCGCGUCUGAUUAGCUAGUUGGUGAGGUAACGGCUCACCAAGGCGACGAUCAGUAGCUGGUCUGAGAGGAUGAUCAGCCACACUGGGACUGAGACACGGCCCAG
rnacentral:rRNA from 1 species